rnacentral:rRNA from 1 species
AUGCUAGAUGAUGUCUUUGCUGCACAGCCGACACCUCCGUCACAUUCAGCGAAUGAACCGGAGGAAACCACAAAGGCCUUCCUGGAAAUCUUGGCCUCGUCAAAGAAACCUCUCUAUGAGGGUGCCAAGCUGUCUGUGCUGGAUGCCAUCUCGCAACUGAUGGCAGUCAAGGCUGAGUACGGCUGUAGCCAAGGUUGCUUCGAAGCAUUUCUGGGAGUAUGGGCUAACAGCCUGCCUGAGGGCCAUGAACUGCCGAAAACCAUGUACGCUACGAAGAAAAUCAUGAAGGCGCUCUCCUUGGACUAUGAG